AUUAUAGACUACAAAAUAUUAAUUUUGAAAUAAGAUAUAACUAAUAAAAAUGACUUACAAAACAAAUUAUCAAAUAUGGAAAGACAAAACAAAAAUAAAAAUAGAAAAACAGAAACAAAAUUAUCUGGCCAAUCAGAUUAAAAUACAUGGAUCACACUUUUGAACCGUUAGAUUAACUUAGAUCUAAAGGUUAAGAGUUAUUCCAUUUAAUUUUUAUUUUUAUUUUCUCCUCUCCCUCUCAACUCCAAGACACAGAUCUGGCCUUCACGUUCUUCUCCUUCAUUCUCAUCUCUCCCAUCCCUCUCCAAGCUUACGUUUCUCUCAUCUCUCCACGCCUCUCUCAUCUCUCCCAUCUCACUCCCACCGCGUCUCCUCGUCUAACCACCACCAGGGUCGCCCUCUCACCACCACCAGGGUCGCCCUCUCACCACCACCAGGGUCGCCCGCCCACCACCACCACGGUCGCCCUCCCACCACCGCCACGAUAGUUGGGGAGGCAAGGUUCAUGGUGGCUGGAGGAGGCAAGGUCCAUGGCGGCUUAAGGACGGAAGUCUCGUGGCGGCUGGAGGAGGCAAGGCUCAUGGCUGUUGGAAGCGGGGCAAGGCUAAUGAGGAGGCGGCUGCAGUCUUUUUUUUUUUUUAGGUUUAGAUUUGGUUUAGUGUAACCCGGGUUAGAGAAAUUGUAGUGGUCUGAGUUUAUGUUAUAAUUUCUGGUUAGUUUUGUAAACCGAGAUUAAUUUGUAAACCAAUUUUAAUAUAUAAAUAAAAUUUAUUUUAAUUUAAA